UGUGCUUUGAAACAGUUCAAAAGUUUUAUGUUUAUAAAUCAUCACACAAAAAAAACACACACACAAUUUUAAAGGAUCAAUAUUAAUCUUUAAGAUAACGAAGAAUUAUAGCUAUAAUCCUACUUAUUACCAAAUAUUUAGAUAUUUUAAAAAUAGUCCUUUUUUACCUUUCAUACAAAAACCUGUUUGCCACCCUAGCUUUUUCAUGUAUUUUUGUUUCAUAAAAUGCGAUACGUAACUAAAUUAUUGUAAAUUUCUUUAUAAUAUCGUUCUACAGUAAUCGCAGUUUCUGUAUCAAAUUGAUUUUCUAUGGGGUGUCAUAAUGAAUUGGCAAUUUAAAGCAAAAAAACAAAAUGAGUCGCUCUCAUUUACUAUUUCGUUAUUUACUCUUUAGUUACGAUUUAUUUCUACUUUCCCAUGGUUUCUGAACAAUUCCGUAUUUAUUUUACACGGACAACAAUAGCUGCACUCUGAAUGGCUGUUGGCCUGACGUCUCCGCCAUUACAUCUAUCGCGAAAAUUAGUGAAAACGUGUGUGUUUUGUGGGAUUACUUUUUCGUAACAGGAAGUAAAAUCAGCGAUUAUAGAACGGAAUGCCGCCAAAAACCAAUGCCGAAAGGCAAAAAGCUUACAGAGAACGACUCAAAAUGGAUAAACAUGAUGGAACAAAAAUAAUUUUAUUAAAAUAGUAUGAAUGAUUCCUCCCUUAUUUUAUUUCUAACCCCUUAAUAUUACCCCGUAUUUGGGUGCAUACUUACAAAUAUUUCGAAUUGAAUAAAUGAAGAGCAUUCACAAUAUUUCGCCAAUGUAUAACAAGCCUUAUGGCCUUACUAUUUCGUUACUACCGUUUCGUUACGUACAUUUUUUUUGAGAAAUACUCACAUGCUAAUUAAUGCCUACAUACAAAUCUCUACAAUCUGAGACUCCGAAUAGACUACUUUAACAAAGCCGACAAGAAGAACAGGCGAAGAAUCUAGUGAAGUUGAAUUUUGAAGAGAGUUUAAUACUACUCACUUUGCUAGUAUUGAUCCUUACUUUCUUGAGUAAUUCUCAAAUCUUCGACAAAGCGACCGAGUCUAUCCAUGAACUACAUUAUAAGUAGGUUUCUGACUCAGGGUAGAAAAUAACUGUUUGUAGAGCUUUCGUUAAGUAACGCUUUAAUUAUUGUUGACACGAAUCUUUGUUGUAAAAAACAUCCGUUUGAUAAGGAUUCUGCGGAUGGUGGAAGGUGUAUACCUACAUACGAGUGUUUAAUACUUCAUUAUCAGAUGGAAAAUUACUAUCUUUCAAGAAGUUUUCCUCGUAAUUACGUUUAGAAUUUUGGAAACCAAUUUGAUAAGUACGAGUAGCCUUACGUUAAGCUUUAGAUCCUCUUAAGUGCACACUGUGAAUUGUCUCAUAGUAAAAGAAAUUUUGACAAAAUUAAUACCGUCUCCAAAAUAGGUGGGCUAAAUAAUUGCGUUAUUCACUUAUUAGGGCGAAAAAUUACCAUGAUUUUAUUACCAUACUCGUAUUAUAUCCAUGGAAAUAUUAUGUACAGUUUAAAAUAUUAAUGAAGAAGAUUUCAAUGCGGAAGAAAAGAAAUUGAUCUAUUUCGGUUGGGGUUUUUAGAUGUACGCUAACAAAAUAAUAUUUCUACGAACUGAAUGACAGCAGAAAACAACGUAAAGGCCGAAGGAAAUAGCGCAUCAACAGUAUUUGUGUACUGUCAGCUGUAAUCUGUGUGUGAUGUGAUAUAAAUGAGUUGUAAAGCUAACAAUAAUAUGUAUUACACGACUGUACAAAUUGUGUCAGCCUCUCACGAGACCCUCACUUGAAUGUAAACUACGCGAGAUAACUAACUAACGAGACGACUCUGAAACGACUGGAUGCUGCCAUAAGUGGAAAACAGAUACGUGGCAAUGGCGUUCAAGGCAACAGUUUUAAACGAAUCAAUUCGAACAAUUAUUUUGAUGGUGGUUGCGUUACCAUUGGUAACGUCGAACAUCGACUGCGGUGGAAAAGCGUUCCAUUGUGUGAACUCGACACAUUUUAUGAUAUGCGUGGAUCUCGGUGGUGGUGUCUCCAGUACCAUUGACAGCUUCGUCAUCCCCUGUCCACCGUCCACUGUGUGCGAAGGAAAUAACCAUUUUGAGUGCGAAUUUCCACGGACAACGACUGUAAUACCUAUAACGGAAAAAAAUGUGCCAAGUGAAUUAAGAUUUAGUGAAACGACAAUUACGGACACUAGUACAACUGUUAUUGAAACCAGGAGUGAAGUUCUUCCAACGGAGGCAAAUUUGAACACCGUGAGUACAACCACAUUGCAAGAAGAUAGUGUUACAACAGAUAUACCAGUUACUGGACCUAGUAUUUCAGAAAGUUCAUCUGAUUAUACAAAUAUAGUGUAUACUUUGACAACAGUACCAGAGGAAAUAACCACUGUUGCAAAUACCAUUGAUAUAUCUGCAACAACUCCCAGUGGUACUAGUUUAGCGGCAGACACAUUAUCACCAUCAACAUUCCCCACCAUAAGCGAUACAUUUACAGAAAACUUUGUAACUACUGAUACGACAUUGUUAAACGAUUCUGAAACUGUGACAAUUAAUGAAAUUUUAUCAGAACAAAGCGUAACGGAGACUUUGAAUAACACUUCUGAUAUUUACGCAACAGAAGGUUACUUUGCUGCUACAAAUGAUGUAAUUGUUUCAACAGUGAAUGAACCAUCUCUUGUAAAUAACACAAUAUCAAGAACAUCUCUUAAAAAUGACGUUAAUGUUACAGAAAAUACUGUAACUAUUGAAAGAUUAUUGUCAAAUUAUUCUGAAUCCGGAAUAAUAAAUGAAGCGAUAACUGAUGAAAUUACCACAGAAAUUGCUAAAAACACAGUAUUAAAAGAUAGUUAUACAACUGAAGGAUACUUUUCUGUUACUAACAAUAAGACCUCAACCAACGUACCAGCCAAAGUAGAGUCAAUGACUUCAAGAAAAACGUUUAAAAAUAAUGAACUCACUGGUUCAGAAAUCAAUAAUACUACUGACAAAUCAAUGUUAGAUUAUACUGAAUCUGUGACAAUAAACGAAACUGUGGCGGAUCAAAUCGUAACGGAAACAACAAUAAACGACGCUGUAACCAAUCUAAUCGUAACGGAAACUGUGACUAACGCAUAUGACAGUUACACUACAGAAAGAUAUUAUGUUGAUGCAAAUACAAUUGCUACAACAAUAAAUGAACCAUCCGUAAUGGAAUCUAAUACUUCGGCUUCAAGCAAAACUAUUGAAAAUAAUUAUGUUACUGGCUCAGAAAAUAUUGUAAUUACUGAAAAAUCAUUAUUGAAUAAUUCUAAAACUGUCACUAUAAACAAAACUGUAAGUGAUCAAAACAUUACAGAGACUUUGAAUACCGUAUACGAUACUUACACAACUGAAGGAUAUUUUAUUACUACAAAUGAAGUUAUCACUACAACGAUCAACGAAGCAUCCGCUGUUGAAUAUAACAUUAGUAAAACAUUUGAAAACAAUCCUAGUACUCUUAUAGAAAACAAUAUAACUACUGAAAAAUCAUUGUUAAACUAUUCUGGAUCGAUAAUAGAUGAAACUGUUACUGAUCCAAGUGUAACGGAGAUUUUUAAUAACGGAUAUGAUACUUACACAACAGAAGGAUAUAAUAUCAUUCUUACAAAUAAUGCGAUUGCUACUACAGUCAACGAACCAUCGGAAGUUGCGCAUAAUAAAUCUUUAGCAAACAAUACCUUUGAACACAAUGAUGUUAAUGUAAUAGAAAACAGUGUAACUACUGAAAAGUCGUUGUUAAGUUCUUCUGAACCUGUGGCAAUAAAUGAAGCCGUAACUGACCAAACCGUAACGGAGAUUUUGAAUAACAAGUAUGAUACUUACACAACAGAAGGAUAUAUUGUUACAAAUAAUGAAAUUGCUGCUGCAGCCAACGAAAUAUCCGGAUUUGCGUACAAUAAAACCUCGGCAAACAAUACCUUUGACAACAACGUUAAUGUAACAAAAAACAGUAUAACUACUGAAAUAUCGCUGUUAAGUUCUUCAGAAUCUAUAGCAACAAACGAUGCUGUUACUGGACCAAACAUUAUGGAGAUUUUGAGUAGUACAUAUGAUGCAACAACAGAAAGCUAUAUUGUUGUUACAAAUGAUGCAAUUGGCGUUAUAGUCAACGAACCAACGAUAGAAGACCAUGAAACAUCCAUCAAAUAUAAUACUUUUGUCAACAAUGCGGACCUAUCUACUGCAAAAGGGAUUAUUGAUACUACAGUAGGUAUAUCUACAACAGUAGCAAAUAUAGAUAAUGUUAACACAGAUACCAUUGUUACCCAGUCUUUUGCAGAACUUAUUACUCCUGAACCAAGUCAAAGGUCUACUGAUAACAUUUUAUCCGAAAUUGCAACAGAAAAACUUACAGAAGCAAGUGACUUAAAAUUAAAUAUGUCUGGAAUUCCUUAUGAUAGCACAAGUGUGAAUGUUGCACAGGACUAUUUUACGACUGAAAUCACUUUAAAAGAUACUUUAACGAACAACAUAAAUGAUAUUGAAGAAAAUUUACAAACGACGCCAAGUAUACAGACGUCUUCUAUUCUUGUACUAGACACAGUGAAUGAUUCGAAUUUAGAAACCGGUGGAUUUCCACUAGAUGUAUUCGCGACUACUUCAACGAUAAAGACAGAAUCGAUUUUACCAGAAGAAGUGACAAUAUCAGUAUCUACAAAUGUACCUGCAAAUACUAGUCAAAUAAUAAACGAAUAUAACAAUGGAUUAUUAUCAAAUAAUGAAUUUACAACGAAUAGUUUUGUAAGUGAUAAUAGUUCACAUGAUACAGCUACACAAAAAAUUGAUAAUUUACAAGAUAUUGCAACUACGGCUGGAAAUAUAACAAACAAUAAUAUGAUAGCGGCUAAUACUAGUAACGUCGACUAUACAGAAGCAUCAAUAAUAAAUUUGGUGAACCCCGGUUUAGAUACUACGACAAUAUCAACAGAAAAUAAGCCUAAUGUUAUCGUAGAAAGCAGUGAUACACUUGUGAAAGCCACUGAGGGAACUGUUAAUGAAUAUAACUCCAUGGCAUCUACGUUUGAUGAAAUGGUGUCCACAGAUGCUACAAUGCCAGGAAGUGAAAUUAUCUCUACAACUCUCGAUGAAAGGAAUGCAACAGUUUCUUUAAAAGAAAGUACUGUGACUAAUUCAUUUGCAGACACGGGAAAAGAAUAUUCUACGCCUUUAGCCACUGACAGCACAAACCUUAAAAAUGUUACUGAAUCUAUGACUGAAAUUUCACUUGUGAUUAACGACUUCACGGAGAGUGUUGAUAAAGGUGGUGAUAAUUUACAAAAAGAAAUUAUAUAUAAUAAUAAUAGAACUGUGGAUAAUGUUAGCAUAAAUGAAACUAACUUUAAAAGUGAGAAUAUUAAUGAGGCUUCUAGGGCUGAUAUGACUGAUGAUUUGCAAUCACGACAAAAUAAUUUGUACGAUAAUAAUAAUGAAGGAAUUUUGAAAAACAACAAUCAGAAUGUUUCUGUUCAAAUAUCAAGUGGAUCUGCAGAUGUCAAUAAAACUACAAAAGAUUCAAUAAAUCAAAGCUCUCUAAUCGAAUCUAAACCAUUAUUAGAAGUAUUGGCAAAGGAAUAUUACGAAAAUGAAAACAACACUAAUAAUGCGCUAUUAGCGAAGAAUAUAGAAAAUGAAUCGAAUGUGGAUUCACAAACAAUUUCAUCACCACAAAAUACUAUACCAGUUAAAGAACAAAUAAAUAUAAGCAAUGGCUUACAAGCUAAGUCGGAAAAUAAUGCAGGGACACAGUCAUUGGUAAAUGACCAAAAGCUAAGUCAAGAUGUAGAGCUACAAAUUGACACCAUCAAUCAAACCAAAGUACAUUUUGAGGAAACAAAUGUUUUGCCUAUAUCAGAUAACGGUACGUUAGAUGAUUCAUCAACACUUCAACAAAAUGUUGGUCAAAACUCACAAGCCAGUAUAAUUAAUGUAAUCAAUAACAUCAUACCUGAUGCAAUAGUUAUAACAUUAACAUCGGAUGAAGGCUUAUUACAUUACUCUUCGGCACCUGAUCAAAAGCUAGAACAACAUGUUCCAGCUAGUGCCAUUAAUGUCAUAAACAAUAUAGAGUCACCUGUUGAAACAGUUGCUGCAUCGGCCACAGAUGAUAUUCCAUUACAUCAGUCUACAGCGCUUUAUGAAAUACUAGAUCAACAUGGCAGUACCAUUAAUGUGAUAAAUAAUAUAAAGUCUUCGGAUAUAACUGCAACAUCAAGCUCCGAUGAUAGUUUGUUAUACCCGUCUUCGGCCAGUGAUCAAAAGCUAGAUCAGUAUGCUCCAGCCAGUAUAAUAAAUGUGAUCAAUAAUAUUGAGUCUUCUGAUGUCAUUGUAACAACAAAAUCUGAGGAUAAUUCAUUACAUCAGACUUCAGGACUUGAUCAAACACUACACCAACGUCUGUCAGCUAGUACUAUCAACGUGAUCAAUAAUAUAAAAUCGUCUGAUGUAAUCGUAACGUCAUCAUCCGUUGAUGCUUCAAUGCAACAGUCUUUAGUACAUGAUCAAACUCUAGAUCAACAUGCAUCAACUAGUAAUAUUAAUGUGAUAAAUAAUAUAAAGUCCUCUGAUGUGUCAGUUACAACGAUAACGUCAGAUGGAACUCCUUUACAUUAUUCUCCAGAUUUGGAUCAAAUAGAAGCACCAACAAGUUUAAAUAAUGUAAUAAACAGCACAAUGCCUUCGGAGGUAACAGUUGAAACCUCAACAUUAGAUGACAGCUCAUUACAUCAUUCUUUGGCACUUGACCAAACGCUAGAUCCACAAGCAAUAAUUUCGACAAAGUCUACUGACGGCACAAAAGCAGCCUCGGAUGGCAGUAGUUCAGGCCAGUCAUUAGUAGUUGAUCAAAACAUAGUUCAAAAUGCGGAACUGUCUUCCGCAACACACACAGUUAAUACUACUGAUGUCACUUCUAACAAAACGACUAUUUUGGCAGUAAAUGAAGAUAGCAGAAACUCAAAUAAAGUAAUAGUGUCGUCUGGAAAUAUAAUCAGUAUAGUAUCAAACUAUGGCUCUAACCAACCACCGAUUGAUCAGAAGCUAAAUCAAGCAGCAGAAAUAAGUUUGACAGAAACAAUUGACAAGACUAGCGUGACUUUAGGUGACACAAAAAAAUCUCUUACAACAACUGAUAAUUUAAAACAAUCGUCGUUUUCUGAGGAUAAAGGUGUGGUGUCGCCAAAUAUUGGUACAAAUGUUGGUAACUCUGAAGGUACCACUAACGAGAAUUAUGAAAGAGAAAAUAAAACUUUGACGUUAGAUUCAUCAUCAUCUGUAUCGAUCGCGGAAGCCAAUGUACAUAAUCAUUCAGAAGGAGCCUUGGGGAAACCAAAAAUAUUACCAAAUAUUUCCAAUAAUGUAGGUGUUGCUACAACAGUCGAUGUCACUACUAUUUCACCGAGAAGCACUGUACAUUCUUCGACCCAGAGUUUGAACGUCGAUUCGAACAGUGGCGACAGUGUCAAAAAACCAGUAGAUACAUUUUGUUUCACCCGAAAUCGUGGAAGAUACGCUGAUCGAGAUGACUGUACGAAAUUCUACAUUUGUAUUGGAAAAACUGAGCCUAUUGUAGGAAAAUGUCCAGCAAACACAGUUUUCAGUGAAAUUAAGAAACAAUGUACCAAAAACAGAUCGCACUGCAUCAGGGGAAAUGAAUUUCAAUGUAUAUCUGAAGGUAGAUUCAGUGAUGUAUUCAGAAAUAAUGCUUAUUACAUAUGUAUAAGAAGACAUAACAAUUUCUAUAGAUUUAAAUUUCAAUGCCAAAAUGGAUAUUACUUGAACAAAACAACAGUGAAAUGCACUCAACAAAUACAAACAACGACACAAUCUUCUACUUCUGUGGACAAUAGCAACAGCGAGAAAAGUGUGAGUGAAGGUGUAAAUAGUACAGAAAAUAAAAGUAAAAAUGACAAAUACAGUCAAAAAGAAAGUAAAUCUGGUGAAGAAUUUGAAUGUAAAAAGGAAGGAAAGUUCCCUCAUCCGGAUAACUGUCGAAAGUAUUAUGUGUGUACGAAAACGAAGAAAUCCGAGUACCGUAUGAAGAGAAAGAGUUGCGAUUCCGAUGAAGUUUUCCACAAGAAUAAAAAGAAAUGCGUGGACGCAGAUAGUUAUGAAUGUUAGGAGGCGCUAGAUGAAAACAAAAUCCAUACUUUAAUCUUUCCAUUAGUUUCGUAACUAUGUUUUUAAUUAUAAAAUGUAAAUAAUUUGUUUGCUUUAUUGUUUAUAUCUUAAGAUGUUAAAAUUGUUAAUAUAAUUUAUUUCUGUCUGUAUUAAAAAUAAAAAACAA